GGGCUACCAUGCAGUCGAACGGUAAAAUGGUAGCAAUACUAUUGAGAGUGGCGCACGGGUGAGUAACGCGUAUGCAACCUACCCACCGCAGGGGGAUAGCCCUCCGAAAGGGGGAUUAAUACCCCAUGGCUCCCGGGGACCGCAUGGUCCCUGGGGUAAAGCUGAGGCGGCGGUGGAUGGCCAUGCGUGCCAUUAGCUGGACGGCGGGGUAACGGCCCACCGUGGCGACGAUGGCUAGGGGGUCUGAGAGGAUGGUCCCCCACACUGGUACUGAGACACGGACCAGACUCCUACGGGAGGCAGCAGUGAGGAAUAUUGGUCAAUGGGCGGAAGCCUGAACCAGCCAUGCCGCGUGCAGGAUGACGGCCCUACGGGUUGUAAACUGCUUUUGCGCGGGAAGAAUAAGCCCCUCUUGAGGGGUGAUGCCGGUACCGCGCGAAUAAGGAUCGGCUAACUCCGUGCCAGCAGCCGCGGUAAUACGGAGGAUCCGAGCGUUAUCCGGAUUUACUGGGUUUAAAGGGUGCGUAGGCGGGCGCCUAAGUCGGCGGUGAAAGGCAGCGGCUCAACCGUUGGACUGCCGUAGAAACUGGGCGCCUUGAAUUCGGUCGAGGCCGGCGGAAUGCGUGGUGUAGCGGUGAAAUGCUUAGAUAUCACGCGGAACGCCGAUUGCGAAGGCAGCUGGCCGGGCCGAGAUUGACGCUGAUGCACGAAAGCGUGGGGAUCGAACAGGAUUAGAUACCCUGGUAGUCCACGCCGUAAACGAUGAUGGCUGGAUGUUGGCGAUACACCGUCAGCGUCUGAGCGAAAGCAUUAAGCCAUCCACCUGGGGAGUACGAUCGCAAGGUUGAAACUCAAAGGAAUUGACGGGGGCCCGCACAAGCGGAGGAACAUGUGGUUUAAUUCGAUGAUACGCGAGGAACCUUACCUGGGCUCGAACGCCGAACGACGGCACCGGAGACGGUGCUUCCAGCGAUGGCGGUCGGCGAGGUGCUGCAUGG
rnacentral:rRNA from 1 species